rnacentral:rRNA from 1 species
AGCGAACGCUGGCGGCAUGCUUAACACAUGCAAGUCGCACGGCGGGGGCAACUCCGUCAGUGGCGGACGGGUGAGUAACGCGUAGGAAUCUAUCCUUGGGUGGGGGACAACCGUGGGAAACUACGGCUAAUACCGCAUGAUCCCUGAGGGGCAAAGGCGAAAGUCGUUUGAGGAGGAGCCUGCGUCUGAUUAGGUAGUUGGUGGGGUAAAGGCCUACCAAGCCUACGAUCAGUAGCUGGUCUGAGAGGAUGAUCAGCCACAUUGGGACUGAGACACGGCCCAAACUCCUACGGGAGGCAGCAGUGGGGAAUAUUGGACAAUGGGCGCAAGCCUGAUCCAGCAAUGCCGCGUGGGUGAAGAAGGUCUUCGGAUUGUAAAGUCCUUUUGGCAGGGACGAUGAUGACGGUACCUGCAGAAUAAGCUCCGGCUAACUUCGUG